UGCAUGUAGUGGCGAGAGGUUGGGAUGAUAAGGAUGGGGGAAGGGUUAGCCGGUUUGACGGGGUGUAAAGGGAGCGUAGACGGCAGGGCGAGACAGAUGUGGAAGCCGGGGGCUCGACCCCGGGACUGGAUUGGGAACGGCGGAGCUAGAGUGUCGGGGAGGCAAGUGUAAUUCCUAGUGUGGCGGUGAAAUGCGUAGAUAUUAGGGGGAACACCAGUGGCGAAGGCGGCUUGCUGGACGAUGACUGACGUUGAGGCUCGAAAGCGUGGGGAGCAAACAGGAUUAGAUACCCCGGUGGUC
rnacentral:rRNA from 1 species